UCAAAGAGGCCCACGAAACUAGCGAACAAUUUAUUACUCUCUGUCCCAAAUUAAACGUGGUCUUUUGGGAACUGUGAGAGAGGGACAGAGGAGUAUUACUCACGAGCAGGAGUAGGGUCUUUGCCAUUAUCUGGGAACUUGAUCGAGUACCCGCUUGUCAGACACAGAACACAGGACACACUUCUCUGCUCCUCUUUCUGCAUCCCCACUGAAACUACACAAAGGUUUGUACUUGGGCAAUUUGUGGUCUCUCUCUAGGGACUGAAAAGAAGCUUCCAGACUUGAGACUCCAUAGAAUGUAUGCCAUGUGCCCAGGUUUCAGUCAGGCAGGAAAGAAACAGUAUUGGAUUUGGCAAAGUUUGUUGACAAGGGUGUACAGGUCAAGCUUACUGGUGGAGGACAAGGUGCCAACUGUGAGACUGAAGAGGAGAAAGAAAACAUAUGGAGAAGUUGCAGUUACAGAAGUCUCGGACUUUAUGCUGCCAUUGAGUAAUAAUUCGAAAGACUCAGAAAGACUCAGAAAGAACACUUAAUUAUAUGUGAAAAUUAUUCCUGAAUGUAUGCUUUACCCUGACAUACUUGGAAUUUAAGCUCUUGUAACAAUUUGGAAUCUAUAGUAGUAAUGCAUUGGUUACUCAAUGUACAGUAAGAAAAGAUAUAUUCAUUCAUAGAUGUUAGUAUAUUGAUCCUCACGCACCGGGCAAGCCCUUUAGAUGUUAAUAUAUUGAUGUAGCAAUUUAUCGUAUCCAUCAAUGAGUCGACAAAAUAAAUUGUUUCAACAAAUAUUAGUAUAUCCUGACAUGUUGUCGGAUACAGUCGCAUUGUAAAAUAUCAGUUACAGUACCUACAUAUAACAUAUAGCAAUGGUUGAAUUUAAUAAUUGUGUCAAUAGUCCUUUUGGAGACUGUAGGACCAAGGAAGAGAUUUCAUUUGAUGCUAAAAUCUUAAUAAUUCAUAUUGGCAUGCAUAUGUACAUAGAUACAUACAGAUAUAUGAAUUUGCUUGUGUAUUUGUAUCUACAUAGACUCUAAAUUAGAAUUGGAAGUAAAAGAGAUCAAUAGUCUUUUUUUGUUUCCCCUUCUUGUUGGAGGGAUAUCGUUUCAGUUAGUUCGAUAAUAGUAAUAUGAAUAGAGGGAAAACCCAGUCAAAGGUGUGCACUAGUUUGCCCCGAUCUUCUAAACUCUCAUCUUCUUUUUUAUCUUCUCUCUUCUAUAUACCUGGCCGCACUUGCUACAUAUAGUUUAUUGGAUGUCUGCUUAAUGACUGAAAAUUUAAAUUUAAGAUCCCCAUUUUGCAAUUGUUUUUAUGGUAAUGUCAUUUAAGAAUUCUGGCAGAACACAAUCGAUAUAUCAAAACACCCAUAUUGUUCUAUAUAUCUUAUAAAAUUGUUGUUGUUAUAGAGUUGGGCUAAUUAUAUACUAAUUCGUAUACAUCAUAGAAAUUGUUGCCAUCCAAUGAUAUGAAUCCCUUUUCUCAUGUAGCCAAUAUAUUUCAUCAAAUCCCUAGAACAUAAUUGAUUCUCUAUGUGCUGUUAUUAGUUGUCACAUUAGUUUAGAAUCUCACUAUCCAUUCAUCCCCCUGUAUUCAACUUCAUCACUCUUAAUUUUGAACUCUCUCUAAUCCUUUCUGCUUCAUUUUUUUGUAUUGG